AUAUCUUUCUCGGCCUUUUGGCUAAGAUCAAGUGUAGUAUCUGUUCUUAUCAGUUUAAUAUCUGAUACGUGGCCCAUUGGGCCACAUGAUAUUAAAUUUAGUUUUUUAGGGGGAGAGCCCACCACACUAGCUCGCUACUGGGCAGCUCGAGCGUCGCCCAUGCGUUGCACUGCAGCACGGGCCUGGCGCACCCCAC